AGCGAACGCUGGCGGCAGGCCUAACACAUGCAAGUCGAACGAAGUCUUCGGACUUAGUGGCGGACGGGUGAGUAACACGUGGGAACGUGCCUUUAGGUUCGGAAUAACUCAGGGAAACUUGUGCUAAUACCGAAUGUGCCCUUCGGGGGAAAGAUUUAUCGCCUUUAGAGCGGCCCGCGUCUGAUUAGCUAGUUGGUGAGGUAAAGGCUCACCAAGGCGACGAUCAGUAGCUGGUCUGAGAGGAUGAUCAGCCACAUUGGGACUGAGACACGGCCCAAACUCCUACGGGAGGCAGCAGUGGGGAAUCUUGCGCAAUGGGCGAAAGCCUGACGCAGCCAUGCCGCGUGAAUGAUGAAGGUCUUAGGAUUGUAAAAUUCCUUCACCGGGGACGAUAAUGACGGUACUCGGAGAAGAAGCCCCGGCUAACUUCGUGCCAGCCGCCGCAGUAACAC
rnacentral:rRNA from 1 species